CUCAGUUCGGACUGUAGGCUGCAACUCGCCUACACGAAGCUGGAAUCGCUAGUAAUCGCGGAUCAGCACGCCGCGGUGAAUACGUUCCCGGGCCUUGUACACACCGCCCGUCACACCAUGAGAGUCUGUAACACCCAAAGCCGGUGGGGUAACCUUUAUAGGAGUCAGCCGUCUAAGGUAGGACAGAUGAUUAGGGUGAAGUCGUAACAAGGUAAC
rnacentral:rRNA from 1 species